AUACGUAGGUGACAAGCGUUAUCCGGAUUUACUGGGCGUAAAGGGCGUGUAGGCGGUCUUGCAAGUCAGAAGUGAAAUUCCUGAGCUCAACUCGGGCGCUGCUUCUGAAACUGCAGGACUUGAGUGCUGGAGGGGAUAGCGGAAUUCCUAGUGGAGCGGUAAAAUGCGCAGAUAUUAGGAAGAACACCGGUGGCGAAGGCGGCUAUCUGGACAGUAACUGACGCUGAGGCGCGAAAGCGUGGGGAGCAAACAGGAUUAGAUACCCUGGUAGUCCACGCCGUAAACGAUGAUCACUAGGUGUUGGGAGGCAAAGCCUUUCGGUGCCGCAGCUAACGCAAUAAGUGAUCCACCUGGGGAGUACGUUCGCAAGAAUGAAACUUAAAGGAAUUGACGGGG
rnacentral:rRNA from 1 species